UACGAAGGUGGCAAGCGUUGUUCGGAUUUACUGGGCGUAAAGGGUGCGUAGGCGGUUUGGCAAGCCCUUCGGGAAAGCUCUCGGCUUAACCGAGAAAGGUCGGAGGGGACUGUCAAACUAGAGGACGGGAGAGGAGCGCGGAAUUCCCGGUGUAGCGGUGAAAUGCGUAGAGAUCGGGAGGAAGGCCGGUGGCGAAGGCGGCGCUCUGGAACGUUUCUGACGCUGAGGCACGAAAGCGUGGGGAGCAAACAGG
rnacentral:misc_RNA from 1 species